CAUUCGACUCCUUUGGAAUAUAUUUUUAUUCUUCAAUCGUUUCUCUCCGUAUAUACAACCAUAUUGUGUAAAAAAGUAAUGUAUUUACAAUAAUGGACUAAAAACAAGCUUAAAAGUGCUUACAUUCAUAUUAAAAGUUUUACGUUAAAGCUGCCGCUACACGGGCUCUUUAUCGACGUAGAUAUAUCGUUAGAGAUCGAGCAUUGUGUCGCAAUUGGCACCUUUAUUUUGAAAAACAGCGCUGAGUUGCAUUUUAUUUUAUUUUGCCAUAGCGACCCAAGGUCGAUUUUAUAGCUGAACCCGUGG